CUGGGUGCUGGUCCCCUACACGCACCAGAACAUGACGUGGGCGCAACACGUGUUCAACGAGCGGGUGGACGGCGUGCGCGCCGUGGCGCGGGACGCGUUCCGCCGCCUCAAGGCACGCUGGGGCUGCCUCCAGAAGCGCACCGAGGUGAAGCUGCAGGACCUCCCCGUGGUGCUCGGCGCCUGCUGCGUGCUUCACAACAUCUGCGAGCGCGCCGGCGACGCCGUCGACCCCGAAAACGCCUUCCAGAUCUUCGACGACGACAUGGUCGCCGACAACCCCGUGCGCUCGCAGCCCGCCGUCACCGCGCGCGACCAAAUCGCCCACAACCUCCUCCACAGCAACAGCAGCGCCGGCCCCGGCUUCCUCUUGAAAUGAAGAAGAGGAAAUGCAAGCAGCUUCAUUUCUCGGCCGGAUCAGCGAAGAAGACGCCGCAAGGCUCAACAAUCACAGCUUUUUUUGUUUGGUUCAUCUUAGC
rnacentral:lncRNA from 1 species